AUUGUUUAGGAGAAGAGUGAAGGAGAAGAGAAGAGAGCCCGAAACUAAACAGGGAGGAAUCCACCAUUUAGAAGUCUGGCAGGCAAAGAGGACAAGAGAGUGUCAAUGAAGACCUCAAAGUCUGGAGAAAAAUGACCUUUCAUGGAAUAAGAAGUAUACCUCCUUCUACAUGUUUUUGUCUUACUGACCUCUGAUAACUGGAACACAUGACUCUGGGUCUGUAGAAAGUCAACUGAUCAAACUCAUCCUCACCAUGCAUCAACUGUUCAGACUGGUUUUGGGACAAAAAGAUCUUUCACGAGCUGGGGACCUCUUCUCCUUAGAUGACUCUGAGAUUGAAGACAGCCUUACAGAAGCUUUGGAGCAAAUUAAGAUAAUUAGCUCAUCUUCAAAACGUAGAACAGGAAGGGAUCGUCUAAAUUGCCCCUUCCAACUUCCAGCACAGAAGAUUGCUGAAAAAUAGGUGGCUUCUCCUGCACUUGCAAUGAUGCGAAUAUGUCUGUGGAAAGGCAAGAGUGAAAUCAGAAAGGCCAGUUGAGUGGCUACUGAAAUAAUUCAGAUAAGAAGAAGCAGAGGUUCUGACCAUCAUGGAGCAGUGGUGGUGGAUUACCAAACCAAUAACAAUGACCAGGCAGUAGUUGAAAUCUGUAUCACAAGAAUCACAACAGCCAUCAGAGAGACCGAGUCCAUUGAAAAGCAUGCAAAGGCCCUUGUG
rnacentral:lncRNA from 1 species